rnacentral:rRNA from 1 species
CCCUUAGAUGUUCUGGGCCGCACGCGCGCUACACUGACGAAUGCAACGAGCUUAUAACCUUGGCCGAAAGGUCUGGGUAAUCUCCAAAUUUCGUCGUGAUGGGGAUAGAUUAUUGCAAUUAUUAAUCUUCAACGAGGAAUGCCUAGUAAGCGCAAGUCAUCAGCUUGCGUUGAUUACGUCCCUGCCCUUUGUACACACCGCCCGUCGCUCCUACCGAUUGAAUGGUCCGGUGAAGCGUUCGGACCGUGGCCUUUGGACGGUUCGCCGUCUGUUGGCUGCGGGAAGUUCGUUAAACCUUAUCAUUUAGAGGAAGGAGAANUCGUAACG